CCUGUGAACACCAAAUAGAGAAAAUUAUUUUCUCUAAUUAAAAUUAAAUUCCUCCUCGCAGGAGGAACUGGAAACUGUGAUGCACUCUGAAAGUUAUGACAUUGUUACUGUCACAGAAACAUGGUGGGAUGACUCCCACAAUUGGGAUACUACCAUCGAUGGCUAUAGACUAUUUAGGAGAGACAGGCGAGGUAGGAAGAGUGGGGGAGUCGCUCUCUAUGUCAGAGAUUGGAUAAACUGUGAGGAGCUCCCCAUGAGUAACAGUCCAGAACAGGUUGAGAGCCUGUGGGUUAGGAUUAGAGAUGGGACUAAUAAAGGUCAUCUGGUAUUAGGGGUAUACUACAGGCCACCUGAUCAAGGGGAGGCUGCUGAUGAGACUUUCUUGCUCCAGAUGCGUGAGGCAUCUGGCUCACGGGCUCUUGUCCUGGUGGGGGACUUCAACCAUCCAGACAUUUUUUGGAAAAACCACACGGCGAGCUGCAAGAGCUCCAAAAGGCUCUUGGAAUCCAUUGAUGAUAGCUUUCUGGUUCAGGUAUUGGACAGACCGACUAGAGGACAAGCGUUGCUGGACCUGCUGCUCACCAACGCUGAGGAGAUCAUCAAAGGCGUCAAGGUUGGAGGAUGCCUGGGCUCCAGCGACCAUGCCCUGGUUGAGUUUGUGAUCUCAAGCCAUGUGGGCCUGGCAAAGAGCAGGACCAGGAUGCUGAACUUUAGAAGAGCAGACUUCAAGCUACUCAAUGGAAUGCUGGCCAAGAUCCCCUGGCGUGCUGCCCUCAAAGACAAGGAUGUUGAGGAGAGCUGGCUGCUCUUCAAGGAUGACCUCCUGGCAGCACAAGAGGUCUCCGUUCCCCUGAUUAAGAAAGUGGGCAGGAGAGGUAGAAAACCGGCAUGGCUCAGCAAGGACCUGCUAAGAGAACUGAGGGUGAAGAAAGGGGUGUACAAGCUCUGGAAACAAGGCUGUGUCACAUGCGAAGAAUACAGGGAUGCCGUCCGGACUUGCAGACGUGGGAUCAGGAAAGCCAAGGCGCAGGCAGAACUGAACUUGGCGUGGGAUGUGAAAAACAAUAAGAAAACCUUCUACAGGUACAUUGGCCAGAAGAGACAGGCCAAAACAAACGUACCUACUUUGGUAAAUUUAAAAUGAGAAAUGGCUACAACAGAUGAAGAGAAAGCUGAGGUGCUGAAUGAGUUCUUCACCUCGGUCUUCACUGGUGGCCAGGAUUCUAGUCUUUUUCACGUCCCUAAGUCUUGCACCCCCAUACCUCUAUGUGGGGACCAAGGGACCAAAUCCCUUCCACACUGUAAAGGGUAGAGC
rnacentral:lncRNA from 1 species